rnacentral:rRNA from 1 species
UAGGGAAUCUUCCGCAAUGGACGCAAGUCUGACGGAGCAACGCCGCGUGAGUGAAGAAGGAUUUCGGUUCGUAAAACUCUGUUGUUAGAGAAGAACAGCGCAUAGAGUAACUGUUAUGCGUGUGACGGUAUCUAACCAGAAAGCCACGGCUAACUACGUGCCAGCAGCCGCGGUAAUACGUAAGGUCCGAGCGUUGUCCGGAAUCAUUGGGCGUAAAGGGUACGUAGGCGGGUAAGCAAGUUAGAAGUGAAAUCCUGUAGCUCAACUACAGUAAGCUUUUAAAACUGCUCAGCUUGAGAUAUGGAAGGGAAAGUGGAAUUCCUAGUGUAGCGGUGAAAUGCGCAGAUAUUAGGAGGAAUACCGGUGGCGAAGGCGACUUUCUGGCCAUAAUCUGACGCUGGGGUACGAAAGCGUGGGUAGCAAACAGG